CGAAUGAGAUGUCAAGUCUUUCGUAUUGUGUUGAGUACAUUGAUGCGUCUUAUUGUACUUAGAUGGGAACUCCAUCUCUUAACACAUAUUUGUCAUAUUGCUUUAGACAAAACAACGGAUCUCUCUUUAGAGCAAAGACCUUGACUAAAGGCACUCGAUGAUUGUAUUGAUGAUGAUUUUCCAUCAAUCGGCUUAGGCGCUCUAUAACUAGUGGAUACAUAUUGGCAUCUCUUGAUCCAUCAAGAGUCCAUGUAAAUCCAGAAUGAACACGCAAAGGCAUAAUUCACCAUAUCCCUUCCAAAUCAAGUAGAGUCCAUGUGCGUUUCAAUACAUUUAGCAAACGCAUGCUCCUAUGGUUUGGAGCCACUUGAUUCAGAUGAAUGAAGUCUGUUUAAGAUCUUCAUGUAUAUCUCUGAUCCCAUAGAGAUGUUAUUAUGACCACAUUCAUAGGCUGCAUGUUCAGUUAUUCGGAAACUACCAAACUAACAAAGUAGUGGAGUUCAAUGACAUCCAUUACGAGAGCAUAUCUCAUCGUAGUUGAUCCCAGUGCUUGUUAGUGAAAGACCUUGCGCCAUAAGGUGAGUCUAAGCUCUUACUCUCACUACGCUAUCUAACAAAGGCAUAGUUGAUAGGGUUUAGCUUGCGGUGUCGGCAUCACCU
rnacentral:lncRNA from 1 species